UAUUUAAUUAUAUAAUAUAAAUAAUUUUAUUGUAUUUUGUCUUAGUAUAUUUUAUAGAAUUGAUUUUUUAAAUUAUAGUGUAUUGGUAAUGUAAGUGUUUUAUGAAAUAUUAUUUUAAAUAUUUUAAGUAGAUUUUAUUUAUUGUACCUUUUGUAUCAGGGUUUAUCAAAAUUUUAGUAUUUAUUUUACUUGUCUCGAUAUGGGUUGAUUUAUAAAUAAUUUAUAGUUAAUGCAUCAUAAUUAUUAUUAAAUUAUUUAUAGAAAUGAGAUGUUAAUCGUUUCCCAAGAUAUCUAGUUUCUUAAGAAAAAAUUUAAUUUUUUAAGGUUAUUUGUUUUUAUUUAAUUUCUUAAGUAAAAAUAUUAACUUACUUAUUCUUUAAGGGAUAAGCUUUGAAGUUAAUAACCUAUUAUUUAUUUUUUAUAAAUAUAGUAGUAAGCUUUAAACCAGCUACCUUUAAGAUUACGUUUUAGUUCAUUAUUUUUUAUUUUGAUUUUAUAAAUAUUUUAGGUUUUUUAUUAAGAUUAUUAAUUUAAUUUUAAAAUUUUUGUAAUAAUGAUAGAAUUAGUAUAUUUAUUUGUAUAAAAUUUUUACCUUGUGAACUUAUUAUAAGGAACUAGGCAAAAUUGAUUUCCGCCUGUUUAUCAAAGACAUGUCCUCUUGUUAAUACUUUGAGGUCUGGCCUGCUCACUGAGCGUAUUUUUAAAGAGCCGCGGUAUUUUAACCGUGCAAAGGUAGCAUAAUCAUUAGUCUCUUAAUUAGUGGCUGGAAUGAAUGGCUUGACGAGAA